CCCAGUUCUAUUAGGACGUGGCAGUACCUGAAUUUCAGGUUGAGAUUUUUUUGCAAAGAAAGAAAAAAUUUUCAUUUCUCUUCCUGUUGGAAAUCGACUCUAGGUUUUCUUCUUUCUCUGUUCCAUCAACGCUCUCUGGGCAAAGCUUCUUCACUCUCCCUCUCAGAGACCAAUCGUGAUUUUGCAUACUCCUCUCAUAAUCUCAGAAAGAAAUCAAAAAUCAGAAUAAUGUAUAAUAAUCGUAAGCCAAUGGAGAAGAAGAAGAAGGAAGGCAUGGCUUCUAAUAAUCAAGAUAUGAGCUUUAAGAAUAUUAUGAAAGAUGUUAAAUUCUUUGCCUCUACGCAUAUGACAUGGAAGGAUAAGAAAGCAUUAGAGAACAAGCAAGUUACUGAACUUGGUGGAAAGAAAGUUUGAUUUUUAGUUUACACAAAUGUGUGAAACUAUUGCUGUUAGUUAGAAACCUGUUUCGAUCAUUUAGGAUACCUUUGAUGUUAUAAUAUUCGCAGCCUCAAAAGAAGCAGAGGCUACCUUUGAGUGUAGCGUUAGUACCGAUGAAGAAACAGAAAGAGAGAGAAGAGAAGCUAGAUGUUGGACCAGAAUAGGAUUCUUGGGAGAUUUGGAGGACAGUUUGGGAGUGUAAGUACUAGGAAACCCGUAGAGAAGAAGCGUACACCAGAAGAGAGAGUCUUGAUGUUAGGCAUUUGCUACAUCCCGGUAAUUCAAUAACUAUUGACAGAGAUUUCAAGAUAAAGAAACACAGAAAGAACGAGAACAUGGGAGGAGGUGGUGGUGAGGGAGGCGGCAUCAAGUCUAAAGGAAAGAAGAAAAAUGGCAAAAAGAAGAAUAAAGGAAAGAAGAAAGGAGGCGGUAAAAAAAGAGGCAAACCAUCGCGGUAAACUUUGUAACAACCAGUUUUGAACCAAAGAUGAGUGCAGUUACAGCUAUGGUUUUGAUUGUGUGUUAUCUUCGAUUUUUGUAGAAAAGAACGAGAUUGUUAAAUUAUUUUGCAUGCCUAAUAGAUUGUUUUCUUGAUUUCA